AUUGAACGCUGGCGGCAGGCCUAACACAUGCAAGUCGAACGAGUGGCGGACGGGUGAGUAAUGUCUGGGAAACUGCCCGCUGGAGGGGGAUAACUACUGGAAACGGUAGCUAAUACCGCAUACCAUCGGAUGUGCCCAGAUGGGAUUAGCUAGUAGGUGGGGUAAAGGUUCACCUAGGCGACGAUCCCUAGCUUGUCUGAGAGGAUGACAAGCGACACUGGGAAUGAGCCACGGUCCAGAAUCAUACGGGAGGAAGCAGUGGGGAAUAUUGCACAAUGGGCGCAAGCCUGAUGCAGCCAUGCCGCGUGUAUGAAGAAGGCCUUAGGGUUGUAAAGUACUUUCAGCGAGGAGGCGUUACUCGCAGAAGAAGCACCGGCUAACUCCGUGCCAGCAGCCGCGGUAAUAC
rnacentral:rRNA from 1 species